GCAGCAGUCAAAGCCCAUUGUGCUAGGUGAGCAGUGGACAGAAGCAGUUGUUCUUGCUAAGGUUUCAGUUUUUGGUGCAACUGUAAGCAUCCAUUCUUGUUUGUGUGCUUUAGGGAAUCCACUGGGAGUAUGCCAAGCCCCUGUCACCAGCUGGCUGAUGGACUGGGUUUGCUGUGCUUGUGAGUCCUCUGGAAGUAUUACAGGACCCUGUGAUGAAGCCUUCUAAUUUUGCAUUUCAAGGUCCCACCCUGGUAGCCCCGAGGAGUGGCCAAGGAGUUGUGCUGAGUCGGGGAGGUAGGGAGGAGGAGUGGGAGUCAACUCAAGUUUCAUCAUUGUGUCCCCUUAGCCUAGGUGUACCCUGCAAUGAAGGCGUCAGAAUCCAACCACACCCAAAGUGUGCUGGCCCAGAACCCGGGCAUUCUGAGGAGGAUGGCCAAGAGGUGACAGCUGGAACUUACCAGACAGGCAGACGGCCUUCUUCUACAGCCAACAGGGAUUUGCAUGCCCAGAUAUGUGCAAGAUAAGUCAAGGGCUACAACCCACAGAGGGCAUGGAAGAGAGGUGCAAGGUUGGGACUCCCCAGGGGGGUUUUUUGAGUCAGUUUUGGAGAUGGAGAUGUUGAAAAAGAGUCUCCUAAGCCCACCUAAAUGCAAAGUGUUUGUUUUGAUCUCAGUGCUGAGGUGCGCAGGGCAGAGCA